UUCUGCACAGACCUAUGCAACAGCCUGGCCCCUUGUUAACUUCCUGUCAGUUGAUGUCAUGUGCAUACACUGCGACAGGAAAUCAACUUGGGGCCAUAUAGUAUGUUUAUGUUUACAACUGUGAAAAGGU